UACGGAGGAUCCGAGCGUUAUCCGGAUUUACUGGGUUUAAAGGGUGCGUAGGCGGCCCUGCAAGUCAGCGGUGAAAUGUGGCGGCUCAACCGUUUCGCUGCCGCUGAUACUGUGGGGCUUGGAUGCGGUCGAGGCGGGUGGAAUUCGUGGUGUAGCGGUGAAAUGCAUAGAUAUCACGAGGAACGCCGAUAGCGAAGGCAGCUCGCCGGGCCGCGAUCGACGCUGAGGCACGAAAGCGUGGGGAUCAAACAGGAUUAGAUACCCUGGUAGUCCACGCCGUAAACGAUGAUGGCUGGGUGUGCGCCCGCGAGGGCGCGUGCCUGAGGGAAACCAUUAAGCCAUCCACCUGGGGAGUACGGCCGCAAGGCUGAA
rnacentral:rRNA from 2 species